rnacentral:pre_miRNA from 1 species
CACCCCCACAGGCUAGCCGGCCCCAGGCUGGGCUGGAAGAGUCUCUCUUUGAAAGGCUCACCCUCAAGCACAGCCAGCAGC